UUUAAGGGCUGUUUGCCACUGGGGAAGCAUUUCUUUCUGGAGAUCCUUUCUUGGUGGAGCUUCUCUCUGAGAACCUAGAAUCUUCUGGGAUAGAAUCCAGACCUGAAACACUGAAGAGAUUUGGGUGGAGCAGUACUUUGGUUCUUCAGAGAUACAGCUUCCCUCUGUGGAUGAAGAGAGGCAGACCUUGCCUUCUAGGACAGCCGUUAGUGAGAUCUGGCAUAGCCUCCUGUGAAGGUGCUUGGUUCAUUCUGAGCACGAAGAGCUCUGGAAUAAAUCAGAGGGACUGAGCAGGUCUUCCUGAAACAAGCGUAUCUGCUCUGCGCAUUGCAUUCAUCCGACACAGUGAAUUCAAAGGUCUGCGUUUCUUCUGAAUCAACUUUCCAGAUAAGAAGGCCAGCGGGAGAGAGCCUGGCAUCCUGUGGCCCAGCCUCUAAGAUGAAUAGCACAGCUGACCCUUCUGGAUCCACCGCUGUUAACUGAGGAAAUCAAUGAUGUUAUCUCUGGAGAAGUCUCCUGGCAGUCAGUAAUUGGGUACCCACCCAUAUCCUUGAUGGGGAAAACUCAAGGAAUACACUUCUGCAAGCUGGGAAGGACUUCUGCACGAGAUAACUAAAGAAAUGCUGCUUUUUCCUGCCCAUAACCAAAGAAGAUAUGAAAGCAAAUAUUUCAAGGCGAAUUGGAUGCUAAUAGAGAGUGAGAACUGCAUCCUUUUUUAACAGCUGAGUGGGAUCUUAACACAGCUGUUAACUUGACAUGACUCGUGAAUAUAAAACUUCUCCUUGGUAACUGCUGAUUCUCAUUGUGCUGACUGAAAAACCAGCCACCAUGCUGCUUGGAUGAUAAUGGGCCUCCAGGCUUUCCUUGUCUGAUGAAGCUGAUCUCUAUUCCAGGUAAGAAGAAAAUGAUUGUGAAAUUGAUCCAUGCUGGGAGUGGGAGGAAGAGUUCUCUAUCCGGAUAAGUAACCUUAAUACUUUCAUCCACAAUUAAAUGUUACCAGUUAAUUUUGAAAAGCACAUUAAAUGGUUGGAAACAUCUCACUACAAUGAUUUCUAAAUAUCUUAGUUUUUUUAAAUCACUCCUGGCUGAGAAUAAUUGAUUCAGCCAAAUAAUGCCCAUUGCUUUUUUCUGUAUUUUUUUGGUCCUUUAUACUCUCUUCCAAACCAAACCUACUAAUAUCUGUGAGAAGUGAAUAACUUACGUUUGUAUUUCUGUGCUGGAACCCAGAUUUACAUUUUGGCUGCAAUAAAUAACAAUCUUAUUCAUUUGAGCUUCUCAGCCCUCUUUUCAACCAGGAGAACACUUUUGUGGAGCUUGAGACCUUGGCUGUAUGUUUUGCUUUCCAAGGGAACUUAAAAAGCCAGUUGUUUUAAUACACAGAGCAGAACAACUGCAGCUGACAUAGUGUUGGGCAGUGUUUGUUUUCCUCCUUUUGAAAAACCUUUGAGUUAUGUGCUUUCCUGCUGGGAUGAGCAUCUCCCACAAGGCCAUCUAUGAAAUCCUUAAGGUCAAACCUGCUGUUUCAACCUUCUGUGCUGUGUGAAUGGGUAUUUCCAGGUGGAUUUAUUUUCAGAAGUCCAUAGCCCUUCCUUUCCUGCUGCCCUUGGGCAAGGCAAACCAUCUGCCAGGAGGAGCUGACCACAGCCCUGGUUUUCUUAAACCACCUGGAUUUAAAACUGCUGGCAGGAACUCUGAAGAAGAUUUUUUUGAGACCUUAGUUUAAAGAGAAGAAGGUGAUGGGCUGCUGAAAACCACUGCAGAAAGGAGUGAUGCUAAGCAAAUGGAGGUACACUGCUCAUGGUGGUAACUCAGGGACCAUAUUUGUUGUCUACAAUUCCAUUCAGAUCAGGGCAGCAUUCCUAUUUACAUACCAGAGGUGUCCUAAUUUAUUUUAAACACAAAGGAAAUCAGUGAAACUUACCUGAGGUGCAAAUGAGUAUAGGGUUUCUUGUUGCAAUUAUUCUAGUAAUAAAACAGUAACUGUAUUGCAUUCAGUUGCAAAAUGAAAUGACAGCUUGCUUUCUGCUUUUUCUCUAUUCUGUAAUUAACAGAAUUUCAAUUACUACCUCAUCAAGAUCUUUUCCAAGAGAUUGUAAGGACAGCCAAACACACGCAGUCCCUGGCAGCGUUCUGGCUCUGCUGUGAACCUAACUUUACCCAAAAUAUCUUCUGGCAAUAAAUCUUGAUGAUAAAAUUUUAGGAUAAAAAUUAUCUUCCUGGCUGUAAUUUCCCCCCUCUUCUCCCCACCAAACCCCUUGGUACAGCCCACUCUUAUUCUUCCAGUGAUUUCACUGGAUUAGCGUGAAGAAAUGAUGCAAAAUGCAUCAUGCAAAAUUUGUUAUGGUCAGAUAAGGUUUUUAGGCAAAUACUUUAAAUUAUAGAAAAUGUUGCACGUUUGCUGCCCAUUUUCAUGGCUUUUGAGUGCUGUCUGUAUCUGGCUAACAUUGCCUUGCUCUUUGUCUAAGACUGCGUUGUUUUACCUGUGAAACUUACUUCAAUGUCUACAUCGUAAAGCUCUGAAACAAAAUUUGCACUGUGGGUUCAGUAGUACCUAGCAUGAACGAACCAAGAGCAGUUUGGUAAGCAGCAAUACUGGCACUCUGAUGCAUCUCUGAGAAAUUUCUGGAAAUCCUUGUUUUGUUUGUUUUACAGUUGGUUAAACCAACGCUUCCACCAGCUUCUUCCCGUGUCUCAUUUUCCCGUACAUUUUGCUGCUGAUGCUCUCAUGGCUUCAGAUGGAUAC